CGACCGGCGCACGGGUGAGUAACACGUAUCCAACCUGCCGUCUACUCUUGGACAGCCUUCUGAAAGGAAGAUUAAUACCCGAUAGCAUAAUGAUUCCGCAUGGUUUCAUUAUUAAAGGAUUCCGGUAAAGGAUGGGGAUGCGUUCCAUUAGGUUGUUGGUGAGGUAACGGCUCACCAAGCCUUCGAUGGAUAGGGGUUCUGAGAGGAAGGUCCCCCACAUUGGAACUGAGACACGGUCCAA
rnacentral:rRNA from 1 species